ensembl:lncRNA
AGAAGUGAGCCUGGCGUGUGGUAAAUACUCAAGUUUUACUGUUACUUGACUAUAAAGACUAAUUUUGGGGUGCUUUAUGAUAAUAAUCAGUGCAUAACCAAUACUUGUUGAUAUGAGCUUUGGAUGAAAUGCCUCCAAAACAAAAUUUCUAUCAUAAUUUAUCUUUAUAGUUAAAAUUUGUGAGUGUCUCAAAUUUGAUAUUGAUAUUAGAAAAUGGGAAUGAGGGAAAAAAUGCAUCUUUUUAAAUUAACUUCAGGACACUUCUCUGUUGUUUUAAUGUAACCAAAAAUGUGAGAGAUUGAUGUUGUUUUAAAGUUAAUGUGGGAAAUCUUCUCUCGCAGUUGCUUUUCACAACUCUAUCUUAAUAGUUAAAAUGCCUUUAUAUCAAGAGUUUUGUGUUUCACAACUCCACUGGCCCGUUUCCCAGACAUUUUUCCCUUACCCAAUAAUGGCUUGCUUUGGUGUCUGUUGUGAUUUCCAUUAUUUACUUGUACUUUUUAGUUACUUUAAAAGUGAUGAAACACAUUUCAUCAGUUCCAGAAACACUCAAAUAGACCCACGCAGGAAUCUGCUGCAGUCACAGGCCAGCACUGAGGAGGCCUGAACCCAGACACUCCCGCCAUGUAGUGAAUCUUGUCGAGCACCACAUACAAGGUCAGAUAUUUCCAGCUGCUCUGAUUUACUGGCCAUCUUCCUGGGUCUCUGUACCAACAGAGUGAAUGGAAACACCGCCCAUGCCAAGACAGAGUUCUUUAAAUUAAGAAUGCAUUGCAAUCGAUUAAAAGUGAGACGAGAGUGUUGGGCAAAGCAUGCAUGGAAGAUCCACAGUGCAAUUCUAACUACGAUUUUAGCAGGUGACAGAGGCCACUUUUAGUAAAAGAAGGUGCCUUUUCCUCCUGAACUGCACAGUGCAUCACCUGAAAGAAGAUCAAGAAUUUUGCAGUGACUUUUUACUAAAUUGACAGGUGUUUGUGCAAUUUUGGUGAAAAGCUACUCUUAAAAAUAAGCCACUGUGAAGACUGGAUAUUACCUGGAAUUUUCUGUUACGCCUUCUUGAAUUUUAAUUAUUUCCUGUGAAAACUUCCCAGGAAUUUCAGCUUUGAUCCUUUACUUACUUUUGAACAUCAACAAGGAGAGAAGUUAAAGCUGCUGCCAGAUAACUCUGUCUGUAAUCUUUAUUAAACUAAGUAGUAUUGAGUUCCAAUUCAAGAGGAUGACCUAGGAGGAUCCUGGACUCACCUCCUCCCACGGAUGCGGAAUUUACAGCUGCAUGUGGGCCAAUUUCCUCUGAGAAAACCCCAAAAACUAGCUGAGGGACUCCUGCACAUCAGGAUGAAUGAGAAGAAUCACUUGGAAGCAGGUAGGAGAGCAAGUCUCCAUCUCACCAGGGACCACGCCUGGCACAGCCACCCACUGGCAGAGAACUCAAAACCCUGCCCAGUGAAGGGUUCGAACCCCACCUCCGGCACCCCAGCUUUUAAAACCUGCACCCAAGAGAGGAGCCCUCAAAACAUCUAGCUUUGAAAGCCAAGGGGGCUUGCAUCCCAUGGGACCCCAAGGCUACAGCGAACUGAGAAAGAGCUCUGAACAGGUUCAGGCGCACGGACCCACAGCCUCCCAGAGCAGAGGGCACUGAGCGGAAAGCACGGACUUGCUGGGAAAGGGAGUGUUUGCUUCUGCGAAAGCCGUGCCCUGAGUGGCAGGGUCUAAUUUAACACACAUCCAGGGACCUCCAGUAUGCCCCAGGACGGAGGCCGAGGGUCACCAUCUUGCCCCCUGCCUCCCUCCAGGCCACCAGGGUCUCCUGGAGAGGGGCUUGGACACGCAUAUGGCACCCUGGUUUGGGUGGCUGCUGCCCGGGGACAACUCCACAUUGCUGGGUCUGGCGGCCAGUGAGGCUUAGGUUUGCGGUCCCACAGGACUGUGUAUAUUUUCAUGAUUUAAAUCUGCUGCCUGUUAGAACUAAUGAGCAAAUUCAGUAAAGUGGCCUGGUACAAAAUCAAUAUGCAAAAAUCUGGUGCAUUUCUAUAUGCUAAUAACAAACUGUCAGAAAAAGAGAUUAAGAAAACAAUCUUACUUACAAUUGGAUCAAAAAGAAUGAAAUACCUAAGAAUAAAUUUAACCAAGGAGAUGAAAGACCUGGACUCUGAAAACUGCAGGACAUUGGAAGAAAUGGAAGAAGACAUGAACAGUUAUUCCGUGCUUAUGGAUUGGACAAAUUAAUAUUGUUAAAACAGUACCCAAAGCAAUCUACAGAUUCAAUGCAGUCCCUAUCAAAAUUUCAAUGGCAUUUUUCAAAGAAAUAGAACAAACAAUCCUAAAAUUUGUAUGGAACCACAAAGACCCUGAAGAGCCAAAGCAGUCUUGAGAAAGAAGAACAAAGCUGGAGGCAGCAUGCUCCCUGAUUUCAAACUACAUUACAAAGCUAUAGGAAUCAAAACAGUAUGGCACUGGCAUAAAAGCAUACACAUAGAUCAAUGGAACAGAAUAGAAAGCCAAGAAAUUAACCAAUGCAUAUAUGUCAAUUAAUUUAUAAA